AGUCGAGCGGUAGAGAGAAGCUUGCUUCUCUUGAGAGCGGCGGACGGGUGAGUAAUGCCUAGGAAUCUGCCUGGUAGUGGGGGAUAACGUCCGGAAACGGACGCUAAUACAGCAUACGUCCUACGGGAGAAAGCAGGGGACCUUCGGGCCUUGCGCUAUCAGAUGAGCCUAGGUCGGAUUAGCUAGUUGGUGGGGUAAUGGCUCACCAAGGCGACGAUCCGUAACUGGUCUGAGAGGAUGAUCAGUCACACUGGAACUGAGACACGGUCCAGACUCCUACGGGAGGCAGCAGUGGGGAAUAUUGGACAAUGGGCGAAAGCCUGAUCCAGCCAUGCCGCGUGUGUGAAGAAGGUCUUCGGAUUGUAAAGCACUUUAAGUUGGGAGGAAGGGCAGUAAAUUAAUACUUUGCUGUUUUGACGUUACCGACAGAAUAAGCACCGGCUAACUCUGUGCCAGCAGCCGCGGUAAUACAGAGGGUGCAAGCGUUAAUCUGAAUUACUGGGCGUAAAGCGCGCGUAGGUGGUUC
rnacentral:rRNA from 1 species